rnacentral:ribozyme from 13 species
UUUUUUUUUUUUUUUCUUGGUUCUGUUUUUGUGUUGAUUUGCCUGUUCUUUGUCGCAAUAGGACGAAAAAAUUUCAAUCGGCGAACAAAGAACAAAGAAAAAUAG